ACCAUGGAUUUUAAAAUAUUUCAAUAACAAAAUUUGAUAUUUUAAAGUUAUUGAUAACAAACCAUGAGCAAAAUUUUUUGGACACCUUUUAAAUAGAGUUAUCCACGCACAGAAAUAUUGAUAGGUUGAACCAACAAAACGGUUUGUUGGCUUCGAACCGGCUCGUUUGUUGAGCUACCAAACAUAUUUUGUCGUAGCAACAACCAUUUUUUGUUGAAUCAACUAGUAGAUUGUAUGAUUCAACAAACUAGUUUGUUGAAAAUGUGCUUAUUUUGUUAAGCGUGUACGCAAAACGUACAGUGUAAUGAUUUUUGUAAACAAAGGCAACAGUUGAGGAAAAAGCAUUUCAAACGGAAAAUGCUCUUGAAAACUAAUUAAAUUUACAUUUCAAUGGAAUUGUUUUGAAUACUCAAGGAGUGUAUCAUUGGCACAAACAGCAUGGAUCAAAACCAGCCGCUCAGGAUGUUAUUUCUUCAAAGAUGCGUUAUUUGCGCGUAUGUGCCCGGCUUAAGGAGUGCCUACAAAAAUUACAGAGGAAAGGUGCCGUUGACAGUGUAUGACCCCAGCAUGCCCUCAAGUAAACUUUAACAUCUUUUUUUUUUUCUAUUUCCAUUGUAAUACAGUAACGAUGUAACAUUAUAUUUACCCUUUAAAAGAUACUUAAAUAAAUAAAUGAACAAACAAAACAGUAAACAGUUAAUAUUUUUUAUUAAAAAGAAAAGAAAACAAAGCCAGCUGACAGCUUUACAAACAUGUUUGUGGAUUUCGCCUAGAUGAUUGUUGAAACGACAAACUUGUCGAUUAGAGAAGACUACAAUCACGUUUGUACAAUCAACAAACAUGUUGGGUUGAAUUCAACAAAAAUGUUUGUUAGCCUUCAGAUGACAAACAUUUUUGUCGAAUUUGACCCAACAAUUUAUUGAUUGCACAAUAUAUUUUUCU